UUUUAAAUAUGUAUUGGCGGUCCAGUUGCCCAGUGGUUAGAAUGUCGACCUCACAGUGUAGAGGUUGUGGGUUCGAUCCCAGCUGCGGCCUCCAUGUGUGGAGUUUGCAUGUUUUCCCCGGGCCUGCUUGGGUUUU